rnacentral:lncRNA from 1 species
AUUCAAUUGAUGAUACAUUAAAAAUUUCUUUCUAAUUAUCAUCUAGUUUUGGCAAAGGCUUCCAAAAUCAUCGACCUAUGAGAUCAUAUAGGAUGUUCACUCCUCUUAUUAGAAGUGACUGAUCCCUUAUUGAUCACUCACAACCUCCAUGCAUACUUCACCACAUCUAGAACACCCCACACAAGGAUCAGAGAAUCAAGUUAAGAAGUGAACCAAAAUAUGAAUUCAUGUACAC